UUACGGAAGGCAGCAGUGGGGAAUAUUGGGCAAUGGGCGCAAGCCUGACCCAGCAACGCCGCGUGAGGGAAGAAGGUCUUCGGAUUGUAAACCUCUGUCCUUGGGGACGAAAAAAAUGACGGUACCCAAGGAGGAAGCUCCGGCUAACUACGUGCCAGCAGCCGCGGUAAUACGUAGGGAGCGAGCGUUGUCCGGAAUUACUGGGCGUAAAGGGUGCGUAGGUGGCCAAGCAAGUCAGAUGUGAAAUCCCCGGGCUUAACUCGGGAUCUGCAUUUGAAACUGCAUGGCUUGAGUGCAGGAGAGGAAAGCGGAAUUCCUAGUGUAGCGGUGAAAUGCGUAGAUAUUAGGAGGAACACCAGUGGCGAAGGCGGCUUUCUGGACUGUAACUGACACUGAGGCACGAAAGCGUGGGGAGCAAACAGGAUUAGAUACCCUGGUAGC
rnacentral:rRNA from 1 species